GCUCAACCGAGGAAGUGCUUCGAAAACUGGUAAACUUGAGUGCAGAAGAGGAAAGUGGAACUCCAUGUGUAGCGGUGGAAUGCGUAGAUAUAUGGAAGAACACCAGUGGCGAAGGCGGCUUUCUGGUCUGUAACUGACGCUGAGAUUCGAAAGCAUGGGUAGCAAACAGGAUUAGAUACCCUGGUAGUCCAUGCCGUAAACGAUGAGUGCUAAGUGUUGGAGGGUUUCCGCCCUUCAGUGCUGCAGCUAACGCAUUAAGCACUCCGCCUGGGGAGUACGAUUGCAAGAUUGAAACUCAAAGGAAUUGACGGGGGCCCGCACAAGCGGUGGAGCAUGUGGUUUAAUUCGAAGCAACGCGAAGAACCUUACCAGGUCUUGACAUACCAUGAAAAGCUAAGAGAUUAGUCUUUCCCUUCGGGGACAUGGAUACAGGUGGUGCAUGGUUGUCGUCAGCUCGUGUCGUGAGAUGUUGGGUUAAGUCCCGCAACGAGCGCAACCCUUAUUAUCAGUUGCCAGCAUUCAGUUGGGCACUCUGGUGAGACUGCCGGUGACAAACCGGAGGAAGGUGGGGACGACGUCAAAUCAUCAUGCCCCUUAUGACCUGGGCUACACACGUGCUACAAUGGUCGGUACAACG
rnacentral:rRNA from 1 species